CAAUUUCAGAAGUUAUUCUAAUUUUUCUUUUUUAAUUUUAGGUUUUUCUGAAGGUUAGCAUCUGGAAUUCUAUGAUUAUACUGGGGAAAGGGAAGAAAAAGGCUAAGUAUAAGCAUGAAGACUAUUGUGCUGACACCAACAAGCUAUACAACACGUAUUUGGUAUCCUCAUUGCUACCAGCUGAAAUUUAGAAGAAUUAGCAAAUAAACUCUUUAAAUGAACCACCCCAAACAUACAUUCAAGAAUUUUCAAAGAAGAAAGCAUUUCUCUGAAACCAACAAGCACUUCAAAAAACAAAUAAAAAAAAGCCCUAUUGAAGAAAAUGCUAAAUACUGCUCUCUGAAGAGAAAAAUAUGAAUGCUGAAGAGACAUAGGAACAUCAGUCUGCACUGCCUUAGCACAGACAAGUGUUCAUGCGGCUACAAAAAAGAGCGAACAAUAAAAUCACUGGUGGAAUGAAGAGAGCUUCAGCAUGCAAGACUCAAGCCACACAAGGAAUCUCUAGUGUAUCCUUUUCCUUGAUUGCAUAGUGAGGAGAUUGCUAGGUGUUCACAAGAUUGUGUAAGAUAAUUUCUAGUUGCAGGUGGCAAAUGGAGAGACUGUUACUGUCUAUAUCUGUGAGGACAUCAAACAUUCACAUCUGGAUGUGAUGAAAAGGAAGGAAAUCCUGAUUAAAUACCUAGUGAAAAAAAUCCAGUCUUGCAAGGUGGAAUAUGCUACCAAUUGUCACUGAGGUAAAGUGGAAUAACUGACAUGAGGGUCUGGACAGAGGACCACCCUCACCAUAACAUGGGAUAACAGAUCCUUACGGUAUGAAACAAAAAAUAAGGCUUUCUUAGUAGGUAUGUAUAUAUAUAUGAAAUAAUAUAUAUAUAUGAAAAAACGGUUAUUAAAUAUAUUAAUUAUGCACGCUCAUAUAAAUGCUUCAUCUUGAUUGUGCUGCUCCCUGCUGGACAAAAAAACCAGCUCAGAUGGCUGAGCUUUUCUUUUCAGUGAUUUUUACUUUCAGGCUCAUUGUGUCGUAAUACCUGGUUCUGAAAAGCAGGAUAAGGUUAUGGAGGUCUGGUGGGCUUCAGGUUUCUGCAUCUUCAUGUAAAACUUUCAGUUGUUAUUCUGGUUUUCUAAAUGGCUGUUUUGUAAACAUCUGUAUUACAAGGUAACCUUCUAGUACAAAGGACCUUUUCGACCCAAAGACACAUUUAAAGCAGUGGACGGUCCGUUCCUGUUCUCCUGCCUGGAGAUGUGAACACUUUACAAAGAAACAACAGUUCAAACAGCUCUCUCCUAUGCUAUCCCCAUUUUCAUCUUCCCUCACAACUAAUCUCCAGAAGAAAGCAUGCAACUUCUGCACUGAUACAAAACUUCAAACACAGAUGGGUUUUUUGCUCACAUUGUUACUGCCAUUACCUGAUGGUUUGGGUGUGGUGGCAUGGGAUAUUCCUCCAUUGUGCUGUGCAUUGUCACCAGUUGCGAAAUCCAGGCUCAUACGGGGUUUGGGCUGGUAUUCUCGCCUGGGCUGAGAUGAUGCCUCUUUUAUUCUACCAAAACAUUAAAUGUCAAGAGUUAGUAUCUUGUUAGCAGAUGAGACACACCAAACAUCUUUAUUUCCAUGGCUGAAGUUCUCAUCAACCAAUCAUCCACACUAAACAAGUUUUGUCAUUUGGAGUAGUGUAUUUUGUUUACAACAAUAAUUUAAAUUACCAAAAAACA